UGAGCCAAGAGCAAAGAACUCGGCCUGC
rnacentral:piRNA from 1 species